rnacentral:rRNA from 1 species
UACGUAGGGUGCAAGCGUUGUCCGGAAUUAUUGGGCGUAAAGAGCUCGUAGGCGGUUCGUCGCGUCGGCUGUGAAAUCCCGGAGCUCAACUCCGGGUCUGCAGUCGAUACGGGCGGACUCGAGUUCGGCAGGGGAGACUGGAAUUCCUGGUGUAGCGGUGAAAUGCGCAGAUAUCAGGAGGAACACCGGUGGCGAAGGCGGGUCUCUGGGACGGUACUGACGCUGAGACGCGAAAGCGUGGGGAGCAAACAGG